rnacentral:rRNA from 1 species
GAGACAGCAGUAGCCGCGGUAAUACGAAGAGUGCAAGCGUUACUCGGAAUUACUGGGCGUAAAGCGUGCGUAGGUGGUGGUUUAAGUCCGUUGUGAAAGCCCUGGGCUCAACCUGGGAAUUGCAGUGGAUACUGGGUCACUAGAGUGUGGUAGAGGAUAGUGGAAUUUCCGGUGUAGCAGUGAAAUGCGUAGAGAUCGGAAGGAACAUCUGUGGCGAAGGCGACUAUCUGGGCCAACACUGACACUGAGGCACGAAAGCGUGGGGAGCAAACAGGAUUAGAGACCCCUGUAGUCCCUGUCUCUUAUAC